rnacentral:rRNA from 1 species
GACGUAGGGCGCGAGCGUUGUCCGGAUUUAUUGGGCGUAAAGAGCUCGUAGGCGGCUUGUUGCGUCAGCUGUGAAAACCCGCAGCUCAACUGUGGGCUUGCAGCUGAUACGGGCAGGCUUGAGUUCGGCAGGGGAGACUGGAAUUCCUGGAUGUAGCGGUGAAAUGCGUAGAUAUCGGAAGGAACACCAGUGGCGAAAGCGGCUUCCUGGUCCAGCACCGACGUUCAGGCACGAAAGCGUGGGGAGCAAACAGG